GUCGAACGCUGGCGGCGUGCUUAAUACAUGCAAGUCGAGCGAAGUAUUUCUGGUGCUUGCUCUAGAAAAACUUAGCGGCGAACGGGUGAGUAACACGUAAAGAACCUGCCUCAUAGACUGGGACAACUAUUGGAAACGAUAGCUAAUACCGGAUAACAGCAUUAACUGAAUGGUUGAUGUUUAAAAGUUGGUUUUGCUAACAUUAUGAGAUGGCUUUGCGUUGCAUUAGCUAGUUGGUGGGGUAAAGGCCUACCAAGGCGAAGAUGCAUAGCCGGUCUGAGAGGAUGAUCCGCCACACUGGGACUGAGACACGGCCCAGACUCCUACGGGAGGCAGCAGUAGGGAAUCUUGCACAAUGGGCGAAAGCCUGACGCAGCAACGCCGCGUGAGUGAAGAAGGAUUUCGGUUUGUAAAGCACUUUUGUUAGGGAAGAAUGGUUGUGUGUUAACUAUACACAGUAGAGACGGUACCUAACCAGAAAGCAACGGCUAACUACGUG
rnacentral:rRNA from 1 species